rnacentral:rRNA from 1 species
CCUACGGGUGGCAGCAGUGGGGAAUAUUGCACAAUGGGGGAAACCCUGAUGCAGCGACGCCGCGUGAGUGAAGAAGGAAUUCGUUAUGUAAAGCUCUAUCAGCAGGGAAGAAAAUGACGCUACCUGAGUAAGAAGCCCCGGCUAACUAUGGGCCAGCAGCCGCGGGAAUACGUAGGGGGCAAGCGUUCUCUGGAUUUACUGGGUGUAAAGGGAGCGUAGACGGCAGUGCAAGUCUGGAGUGAAAGGCGUGGGCUCAACCCCCGGACUGCACUGGAAACUGUACGGCUGGAGUGCAGGAGAGGUAAUUGGAAUUCCUAGUGUAGCGGUGAAAUGCGUAGAUAUUAGGAGGAACACCAGUGGCGAAGGCGGCUUACUGGACUGUAACUGACGUUGAGGCUCGAAAGCGUGGGGAGCAAACAGGAUUAGAUACCCGGGUAGUC